rnacentral:rRNA from 1 species
AUUGAACGCUGGCGGCAGGCCUAACACAUGCAAGUCGAGCGGAUGAAGGGAGCUUGCUCCUGGACUCAGCGGCGGACGGGUGAGUAAUGCCUAGGAAUCUGCCUGGUAGUGGGGGAUAACGUCCGGAAACGGGCGCUAAUACCGCAUACGUCCUGAGGGAGAAAGUGGGGGAUCUUCGGACCUCACGCUAUCAGAUGAGCCUAGGUCGGAUUAGCUAGUUGGUGGGGUAAAGGCCUACCAAGGCGACGAUCCGUAACUGGUCUGAGAGGAUGAUCAGUCACACUGGAACUGAGACACGGUCCAGACUCCUACGGGAGGCAGCAGUGGGGAAUAUUGGACAAUGGGCGAAAGCCUGAUCCAGCCAUGCCGCGUGUGUGAAGAAGGUCUUCGGAUUGUAAAGCACUUUAAGUUGGGAGGAAGGGCAGUAAGUCAAUACCUUGCUGUUUUGACGUUACCAACAGAAUAAGCACCGGCUAACUUCGUG